rnacentral:rRNA from 1 species
AAUAGUUUUUUAAAUGAAAACUGGGAUGAAUGAAGUGAUGAGAUUUACACUGUCUUAAAAUAAUUUAUUAAAGUUAGUAGUUGAGUAAAAAUACUUAAAUGGAAACAAGGGACGAGAAGACCCUAUAGAAUUUUAUAUAAAUUUAAUAGAAAAUUUAAUUUAAAAUUUGUUAGAUUUAUAUUUUAUUGGGAGGAUGAUUAAAUUAAAUAAACUUUAAAAUAUAUAAGUCAUUGAUUUAUGAAUUAAUGAUUAAGAAUGAUUGGAAUAAAUUUAAGUAGAAUUAAUUACCUUAGGGAUAACAGCGUUAUAUUUUUAGAGAGAUCUUAUUAAUAAAAAUGGUUGC